rnacentral:rRNA from 1 species
GAUGAACGCUGGCGGCGUGCCUAAUACAUGCAAGUCGAGCGAACAGACGAGGAGCUUGCUCCUCUGACGUUAGCGGCGGACGGGUGAGUAACACGUGGAUAACCUACCUAUAAGACUGGGAUAACUUCGGGAAACCGGAGCUAAUACCGGAUAAUAUAUUGAACCGCAUGGUUCAAUAGUGAAAGACGGUUUUGCUGUAACUUAUAGAUGGAUCCGCGCCGCAUUGGCUAGUUGGUAAGGUAACGGAUUACCAAGGCAACGAUGCGUAGCCGACCUGAGAGGGUGAACGGACACGCUAGAAAGGAGAAACAGUCCAGGCUCCAACGGGAGGCAGCAGUAGGUAAGCUACCGCAAUGGGCGAAAGCCUGACGGAGCAACGCCACGUGAGUGAUGAAGGUCUUCGGAUCGUAAAACUCUGUUAUUAGAGAAGAACAAAUGUGUAAGUAACGAUGUACGUCUUGGCGGUACCUGAUCAGAGAGCCACGGCUAACUACGU